rnacentral:rRNA from 1 species
CGUACAGGUCUCCGUAGGUGAACCUGCGGAGGGAUCAUUACACAAAUAUGAAGGCGGGCUGGAACCUCUCGGGGUUACAGCCUUGCUGAAUUAUUCACCCUUGUCUUUUGCGUACUUCUUGUUUCCUUGGUGGGUUCGCCCACAACUAGGACAAACAUAAACCUUUUGUAAUUGCAAUCAGCGUCAGUAACAAAUUAAUAAUUACAACUUUCAACAACGGAUCUCUUGGUUCUGGCAUCGAUGAAGAACGCAGCGAAAUGCGAUAAGUAGUGUGAAUUGCAGAAUUCAGUGAAUCAUCGAAUCUUUGAACGCACAUUGCGCCCUUUGGUAUUCCAAAGGGCAUGCCUGUUCGAGCGUCAUUUGUACCCUCAAGCUUUGCUUGGUGUUGGGCGUCUUGUCUCUAGCUUUGCUGGAGACUCGCCUUAAAGUAAUUGGCAGCCGGCCUACUGGUUUCGGAGCGCAGCACAAGUCGCACUCUCUAUCAGCAAAGGUCUAGCAUCCAUUAAGCCUUUUUUUCAACUUUUGACCUCGGAUCAGGUAGGGAUACCCGCUGAACUUAAGC